CCAGCCCUAUUUUUUAUUUAAUGUGAUCAUUAUUUUACAAAACAACCUAACACUAAUUUUGUAGGAACGUACUGACCAGUUUUUGUAGUCAACUGCAUUAUUUAUUUUUGUAUGGGGUUUUCUGUAAGAUUUCUAAAGAUGCAACGGAUAACACCUAAAUUGUGUGGCUCAGUUUUUUUUCCCGCACUGUUUGAAUCGGUGGGAGAGACAGCUGGGCAGAGACGGGGCGAGUACCUCGAAGACGAUGGCCUCCGAUGUGGCCGCCGACGAGCCACCCGCCAUCAGCAACAUCCACGAGGUCUGCGCGGCCGACGAGCUCCCCGGCAUCGCCACCGUUCAGAAGCUCUGCGCGGCCGACAAGCCCCCCGCCAUCUGCACCGUCCACGAGCUCUGCGCGGGCGACGCACCCCCGCCAUCGGCAGGGUCCCCGAUCUGUGCGCCGCGGACGCAGACGUCGUGGCGCAGGAGCGAACCAAUCAAUCCUUGUCCCAUGAAGACUGCAACAAGCACUAGCAUUCUUUGGGUGGGGUUUCAGAAGAAGGAACUCAAGGAAGAUUCAGAAAACUCACCGUGAACCCGGCCUUCUCAAGCGUGCGCUUGGGCGCGGCGUUGUUGGUGUCCCUUAUGAAGUUAAGCAUGCAUGGCUUCCAGGUGUCUCUUUUGCGGGCUGGCUUCUCAGGUGUCUCACUUGGGCGAGCAUUCUUCUGUAUUACCAGUGGUGGCACCUGGUCGACAAGGGCUAGAGACGACGCACCGCCUGCUGCAUGCAGUUACACACCGGAUGACGCGCUGAUACUGUUCACCCACCGCCUGCUUGCUUCGCCCAGCAUCUAGAGGUAGCAGUGCUUUGAACCAGAAGCGAAGCAGAGCUUUCAUUGGCUGGCUCCGCCUGCUGCUUGCCUACCUCAGCUUAGCAGCGGCGUUCUUUAUUUCGACUCGCGCCUGAUGUAGUCGUAGGCGUGGGCUGGGUCCAACGUGCCAAUCCCGCGCGUCACCCACCACGCUGCUCCCCAUUUGCUGCCUCACUUUACGUACCCAUCCCGCUCUGCCGCGCUCGAAUUUAAAACGGCUCCUCUGGACGCGGAUUUCAUAAGCCUACAUUUCAGUGCCUGUCAAAGAAAAAAGAAAGCCUACAUGUAGGUGUGCAGGCGCAUGCGCAGACAUUUGCAAGCACCAUUAGUGGAUUAUUUUUUUGAGGAACUGUAUAAGAUGGCAUGAAACAGUAGCCUUCUACACACCUUAGGUUAGAGUAUUAUUUUGUGUAGCCUUUUUUUGAGAGAAUUGUUUUGUGUAGCAUUAGAUUGCAAAAGAUGCUCAACACGCCUGGUGGGCCGAAUCCCGACCAGCAUGCUUAUCCA